GGGCUAGCCUCAUACAAGUCUUGCGGAGGUAGAGCACUGAAUUUCCUAGGGGGCGUCAAAGCUUACCGAAGAAUAUCAAACUCCGAAUGCCGCGUAGAUGGUGUAUGGGAGUCAGACUGCACGAGAUAAGUUGGGUAGUCAAAAGGGAAAGAGCCCAGACCUGCAGCUAAGGUCCCAAAAUGUGUGUUAAGUGGAAAAGGAUGUGGGAUUUCGAAGACAACUAGGAUGUUGGCUCAGAAGCAGCCAUACAUUCAAAGAGUGCGUAAUAGCUCACUAGUCGAGAGGUCCUGCGCCGAAAAUGUCCGGGGCUGAAACACACUACCGAAGCUCAGGAAUGUACUUGUACAUUGGUAGAGGAGCAUUGUAUACGGGAAGAAGCAGUACCGAUAAGGAGCUGUGGACUGUAUAGAAGAGAGAAUGCCGGAAUGAGUAGCGAGAGGAAGGUGAGAAUCCUUCCGGCCGAAUAUCUAAGGUUUCCAGAGUAAAGCUGAUCUGCUCUGGGUAAGUCGGGGCCUAAGGCCAGGUCGAAAGACGUAACCGAUGGACAACAGGUUGAAAUUCCUGUACCGCGAUAUAACAGAACUGUGGGGACACGUGUGGAGAGCACAAGCCGGGAAUGGAAAGCCCGGCGCAAGCAAGGUAGGAGUCGUACUGGCAAAUCCGUACGGCAAUCCGAAGAUGUGAUGCGUACCGAAUUAAGAGUAGGGAAGAGUGUGAGCCAUGCGUCAAGAAAAGCCGCUAUUGUUUGUAUCGCGCCCGUACCGUAAACCGACACAGGUGGAUGAGGAGAGAAUCCUAAGGCCGACGGGAGAAGCAUUGUUAAGGAACUCGGCAAAAUGACUCCGUAACUUCGGGAGAAGGAGUGCCACUGAGAGGUGGCCGCAGAGAAUUGGCCCAAGCAACUGUUUAGCAAAAACACAGGUCUAUGCAAAACCGAAAGGUGAAGUAUAUGGGCUGACGCCUGCCCGGUGCUGGAAGGUUAAGGGGAGAGGUUAGCGCAAGCGAAGCUUUGAACUUAAGCCCCAGUAAACGGCGGCCGUAACUAUAACGGUCCUAAGGUAGCGAAAUUCCUUGUCGGGUAAGUUCCGACCCGCACGAAAGGCGUAAUGAUUUGGGCACUGUCUCAACAAUGCACCCGGUGAAAUUGAAAUACCAGUGAAGAUGCCGGUUACCAGCGCCAGGACGGAAAGACCCCAUGGAGCUUUACUCCAGCUUGAUACUGGGAUUCGGUAUUGCAUGUACAGGAUAGGUGGGAGGCUAAGAAG
rnacentral:rRNA from 1 species